CUGUGGGAUUUCUUUCCAAUCAAGUAUUUCGUAGAGUAUGUCCUUUAAACUUCGAAAAUUUGGUCGAUCUUCAGGAUUUUCUUUCCAGCACAUUGACAUAACAUCGUUGCUGUAAUGACAUAACAUCGUUGCUGUAAUGACUUAACAUCGUUGCUAUAAUUUUAUUUCAUAAUUUUGAGUAGCAAGUUUUAUUUUAACCCUAGUGGAAGUAAGUGCCCGCGAUCAAUAUAUCCUAAACCAUUUGGUGUACAUGUGCAUGACUUGCUCAUGUUUAUAUUGACACUUGUGUUGUCAUGGCAACAAAUUAUGACGUGAUUAAUUGCAAGCCCUGAAUUGUUAAAAUAUUUUAAAUUUUACCUUAGUGGGUCGGAUAAGCGCACAAUUUUGUAAUAAUUGUGCAGUUAGUGAAGAAAGCACUAUAUUG